AAAAGAAGAAAAACUACCACAACAAGAGGACAUAGUCUUAAAUUAGAGGGACAAAGGUUUAAAAAUAAUAUCAGGAAGUAUUACUUUACUGAGAUUGUAGUGGAUGCAUGGAAUAGCCUUCCAGCUGAAGUGGUAGAGGUUAACACAGUAAAGGAGUUUAAGCAUAUGUGGGAUAGGCAUAAGGCUAUCCUAACUAUAAGAUAAGGCCAGGGACUAAUGAAAGUAUUUAGAAAAUUGG